GAUGAACGCUGGCGGCGUGCCUAAUACAUGCAAGUCGAGCGAACAGACGAGGAGCUUGCCUCUCUGCCGUUAGCGGCGGACGGGUGAGUAACACGUGGAUAACCUACCUAUAAGACUGGGAUAACUUCGGGAAACCGGAGCUAAUAUCGGAUAAUAUAUUGAACCGCAUGGUUCAAUAGUGAAAGACGGUUUUGCUGUCACUUAUAGAUGGAUCCGCGCUGCAUUAGCUAGUUGGUAAGGUAACGGCUUACCAAGGCAACGAUGCGUAGCCGACCUGAGAGGGUAAUCGGCCACACUGGAACUGAGACACGGUCCAGACUCCUACGGGAGGCAGAGGUGGGAAAUCUUCCGCAAUGGGCGAAGGCCUAACGAAGCAACGCCGCGUGGGUGAUAAAGGUCUUCGGAUCGUAAAACUCUGUUAUUGGGGAAGAACAAAUGUGUAAGUAACUAUGCACGUCUUAACGGUACCAAAUCAGAAAGCCACGGCUAACUACUU
rnacentral:rRNA from 1 species